AUUGAACGCUGGCGGAAUGCUUUACACAUGCAAGUCGAACGGCAGCACGGGUGCUUGCACCUGGUGGCGAGUGGCGAACGGGCGAGUAAUACAUCGGAACGUACCCAGUUAUGGGGGAUAACUACCCGAAAGGUUAGCUAAUACCGCAUACGCCCUGCGGGGGAAAGCGGGGGACCGUAACGCCUCGCGUAAUUGGGGCGGCCGGUGUCUGAGUAGCUAGUUGGUGAGGUAAAGGCUCACCAAGGCGACGAUCAGUAGCAGGUCUGGGGGGAUGAUCUGCCACACUGGAACGGAGACACGGUCCAGGCUCCUACGGGAGGCAGCAGUGGGGAAUUUUGGACAAUGGGCGAAAGCCUGAUCCAGCCAUUCCGCGUGAGUGAAGAAGGCCUUCGGGUUGUAAAGCUCUUUCGGCAGGGAAGAAACGGUCUAGGUUAAUACCUUGGGCUAAUGACGGUACUGUAAGAAUAAGCACCGGCUAACUACGUGCCAGCAGCCGCGGUAA
rnacentral:rRNA from 1 species